GAAAAAUAGACAUUUAAUUUUGAAAAAACAGUAUAUUGACUAAACACCGGUUUUAUUUACGACCGGAGAAAAGCAGUGACAACUUUGUUUUUGCGAAGAUAAUUUAUUUUUUAAGACGGUGCAGAAAGGUAUGCCGUGGUAAUCGGAUAUUCUAAGGUAAAUAACCACAGCUGUGAAUAGAAUGAAAGUGUGCUAGACAAAACACGGCUAGUUUUUAAUAGUUUUACCCCAGAUAUCUUCUUUUUGAUCCUUGGAAAUAAAAUUAGCUUAAUAUCACAGGCCUACAGUGUAAGCAGACGUUUAGUUCCCUUUCUCAUAGAAAGUUGUUGAACCAAUGACGGCGCAGCUUAACUGCGCGGCCUAUGCCGCGCCGUCAUUGGUUCAACAACUUUCUAUGAGUGAACCAAUGACGAUGCAGUUACACUGCGUUAUUGAAAAAGGCUUCAGUAACGGGGAAAAAGGAGACCUUUCCCCAUACGCAGUACUCGUUCCGUAUCUCAGGGAACCGAGGUUACAUUAGUAACUGAGUACGUUCUCUCCUCCGUCGUAACCAUUAAACAGGGCUUUCAUGUUGUGAGCGGCUGCGCGCGCUGUAGCUUCUCUGCGUGACCGCGAUCUCUCUUCUGGAUUGCCAAAGUAAAAAUGCAUCAUAGACAAAUGUCCUAAUAUUAUUGCAUACAGACACAGCUGGCGACUCUGGCGAGAUAGAAUUCGCAAGAUAAUGUCUAUAUAGCAAUAAUAAAUGUAUGCAUAUUUUCUUCAUAAUUUCUCCAGUAACAGUUACAGAUAGCAGAACCGUUAACGUCAGAGCUUAUCGAUACACCGGUCUUUCAUAAUUUAGCCCCGGGGCCAAUUUAAUACCGGGUUUCGGUACCCAUCCCUAAUUAUAAUACUAGGCUAUAAGUUCUUGCUGACAGGCUUGGUUCGGACAUUAUGGAAAGGAUCCCUACAGAGAUAGACAUUUUAGUUAUCAUAUGAUCCUUCAAACCUACUAGACUCCAUUAGCAAAUGCAGUAAUUUUACCUCACAGACCAUCGUAAAACACAGUACAUUCAAACUCGACAGAAAUAAAAUGAAACUCACGAAAACCAUCUUGAUUUAUCUUUUCAUCUUUCAACAACCACUAGGUCUGGUUUGGUCAAAAUAAACCAGGUGUAAUUCACCGAGUUAGGUUUGAAAAUGACGGGACAAGCGGGAAACAGUGGGUAACUUAACGUUUGACGUCUAAAGUUAAAUCUGUGACUGUGUUUUUGCAAUGUUUGCUGGCUAAACUUCCACUAUCAUUUAUAGUGUAAAAUCCUAAAACAUAAUUAUAAAAUUUAAAAUCAAUUCAUCAAACCUCCAGAUUUCCACUGAGAGAUACAGAUAUUCGUGACCAUGAGUGAGCUGCUGCGGUUGAGUUCUGACACCGUCAGUCAGGUGGCGUGCUUUUUACAGCAAUCCUGUAUUAUUGCCUGGCAUAUUACAGCCAAAUUACAGGUAGCUUACAGCAACACUAAAAUAUACUGUAAAAUGUUCCCGCUCAAACAAAAUUACCCAGAAUGCAAUGCAAAUUACAGUAUUUUACUGUAAUAUAAAAUGCAGUAUUGUACUGUAGGUUUUUACAGUAAUGUGCUGCUAAAUCUACAGCGGCAUUUAACAGUGUGAUUUGUCCAGUUUAUGAGCCGUUUUUAACUAGUUAUCAGUGCCGGUCACCACCAGGGGCUCAUUUUCUCUCAAAGAUAAUUUAAGUAGCGUAUCACUACAUAAUGUGAACAUAACUGCAUUCAGCUUUAGAGGAAAUGUAAUGUUAGUUCAGUACACAUCAAGACGUUCUUAUACGUGUUUCAGUGGCGGCUGGUCAAUAGAGUCCACUCCUGCCUGUCAGCGUGUCUCAAGUUCAGUUCUGGGGUGAUCGAGAAAUCGUCCACAGGAGGCGGGUUCAUGUAUUAUUUCAGUAUAGAGACAGAGCCCACACCGGAGGGAAAACAUUGGAGGGGAACGUAAUCAGCCACAGGUUAUGCUAAACAAACAAACAAAGAAAACAUUCAUUAUUUUUAACCAUGUCAAAGAAUUAUUUCACCUGUCGCCGAUUACGUUCCCCUCCAAUGUAGUUAAAUAGUAAUAUGACCCGUUUCGCUCUCUCUCACUGCCUGUAUCCACUUUUGUGUCCUUAAACAUUAGUUUUUUCGACAGCUUAUAUAUUUGCUGCACACCUUGUCACACAGCAGCUUUUAGACAUUGUUCUAUUUUUUGUUAUAAGGUCAGAAAUGACAAGGAGGCAGCAUCACGCUAUACAAUGUCAAUGGAGACGGUUGGAUUGUUUUCCCCCCGGUGGCCGUGGUUUUCAGAUUAUGAUCUUGUCACUCUGUCUCUAUAUUAGGGGUGACCAGAGCCGUUGAAAAACAGAGUUGCGACACUCCCAUAGACUGCCAUAGGAACCUUGGAAUGCGGAAGUAACGCGUGUCGUGGAGCAGCUAAUAGUUCCAAACACUGAUAGUUCCAGCACUGAACUCCACACAUUUUCAAUGUUUCUGAAGUACGCUCGCUGGAGGUGAAAAAGAAGUCUAAACCAAGACUUAUACCUAGAUAAAGUAACUCUCAGUAAGUUAAGUAAGUUCCAGCUGUCGAACAGGUGGGAUUUAAUUUGCAAAUCCAUACACAAUCACUGUAUGUGUGUGUUGUUUUGUUUGUUUUCAACAGGAUGGAUUAUCGGUGGGGAGUGGAGCAGUGGCCAGGCUGGGGGAGCUUGUCGUUCCUGUAAGCAAUGGAGUGAUGAUGAAGCUGGUUUGAAUUUGAACAGUGGAGUGCUGAAGCUGGUGGAGUGAUGAUCAUGGCAUGAAGGAAGCCUGCUGUCCAAGAGCCUACCCUCCCUCUCCAGCAUAUCCAUGGCAUUUGGAUCCAUAAAGGAGCCACUGGUCCUAGUUCGGAACUGCUCCUCAAUUUGCCGGACUAAAUCAAAGGCCUUUUGAUGGCCGACAAAGUGCACCUGGCUUGAACUCUUUCAGCUUCAGUAAAACACUGUGCUUUCCUUCAGGACUGUCAUCAUUGUGCUUAAUUGCACUUUGGCAACCCUCACAAAUCUUGGAAUAUUUAAUCACUUUAUGCACGAUGUAGCCUGUAAGGUGGUAGAGAGCACUGAUCUCAGUAUUCGUGAGGUCAGGAGCAGCUCUGCGCGCCAUCAGCUCCUCCACUCUGAGGCCAGGACUGGGAAGUGACUGCUUUGUGUCCAGGAAGUCGGCCAAAAGGCUGUUGUCAUCCUCCUGAUAACUUCCUGUUUUCACAGUCGCAAGAAAACUGCCCAACUGAUAUUGAUUUCAGUGCCUGUUGAAACUCUACUGGAGUUGGGACUGGAUUCCUCUGUCUUAUGCAGCUGAAUAGGUUUUCAAGACAGUCUUGGGUUAACCUGCUGAUCAACAAAAACAUGUGUCCCUGGGCCAGCAUGUCUUGCUGAAUUGAUAGAAUUGAAGAUGUUGCCAUCACAAUUCCUUGCACAGGCUUCCAGCUACCCGUUCGUCCAAUCUUCAGCCCACGGAAGAGUUGGAUGGUGUCCUGAAGGAACUUCGAUUUUGUGUGUGCUGAGUGCCAUUACUGGGUGGCGAGAGGACAUGAUGUCAAACCAGUGGUCCACCUGCUCCAGAAACCAUGCUGUGGUCUGGUAAGCGGGUGGUCUUUGUUCCUGCUCCACCAUGUAUUUCAGGCCUGCACUGGUUGCCUUGCUAAAGAUAUUCAUCACAGGGCCCACCUUCAUCUUCUCAAAAUGACUGGGUUGAAGGGUUUUACUUGAUAGAUUUGGAGCAAUUUUCAAUGUCAUGCCCUCUUGAAAAUCCACCAGAUCUUUCAGUGGACCAACGGAAACUUCAUUGAAGAAGAGUUUCUCCUUCUCUACCGUCUCCGGAGGAAUUGUGAACGUCUGUCCACGGACCAGGCCACUCUUCAAGUUCUUAACAAGAUGUGGAACGUCUGGCAUAAAGUAUAGCCUCCUGUCUGGUCUUACAGGAUGUGGGACAGAUGUUUUGUUGUGAUCCACGCCAAAUGCCUUCCACAUUGCCCGAUUAGGGCUGCCCAUGUCAGUGGUGGCCAAUAGUUAAUGAUCACAGUGUGGCUGAAGCCCAAAAACCAGUCUGCAUUGCUGAGAGCAGUAAUGAUGAAGAUGAGCAGCCACCUGCCAAAAUGCCUAAACUCUUCUCUAAUUACCGGAACAAAGCCAGCAAAAAGAAAGGAGACGUAAGCUUGUCUGUCCGAGCAGAGCUAAUGUGCUACAUUCAGGCAUCUUCUAAUGAAGAUGAUGUUGAUUGUCUGGAAUUUUGGAGAAUCCAUGAUAAAGACUUUCCAAGGCUUAAACAGGUGGCAGUGAGAGUGUUGGCAGUUCCUGCUUCCAGUGCCCCAGUGGAGAGGGUGUUUAGCCAAGGUGGACUCAUUAUACUUCCUCAUCGCUAAGUGCAAAAACACUAUCAAAUUUAAUCUUUCUGAAAUGUAACCAGUCUGCGUAAAACUUUGUCUUUGGACAUGAAAAGAUCUUCUUUUGUCACAGUAGAAGAAAACAGUACUGUAUUGUAAAUAUUUUAGUGUUACGCAUACCUGCAUAAAACAUUUUACAAUGAAUUUCUCUGAAAAUGUAAAUGUUCUGUUUCAUUGAUUCUUUUGAAUCGAAAUUCUAUGAAAAUUUAAAAUGAAAAUUAUAUGUUUACCAUAUUCUCAUCUCAUAAAUUUGAAAAUAUAUUUGCAUGUCUUAUUAGACAAUGUAGAUCUGCAUUUUAAAUUAAAUGAAGUGGAUCAGAUGUAA